UUUGCUCUUUGUCUGCCUGGUCUCACUCUCACUUGAUGCCAGCCAUAGCAGCAGGAGUCCCAGCAAGGGGGUGAUCUCCCUCACUGGGGCUCUUAACAACUACACGACUGAAGAAACAAAGUCACACAACCAGAGUCAAGCUUUCAUCUGCACUCUGCUCAUCCGUGCCUCCAAUGUCCCCUGGCUAAGAUCAUAGGAACAGAAAGCGACCAUGUCCAAACAGGCACGAGAUGAACACCCCAGGAGAUAACAAAGGACAGAAUGACAGGCAAUUGUCACCUUGAUACCUCUUCUGCAUCAGACAAGUGAUCUGUAGCCUCGGGGAAGAGAAGCCUCCACUGGUGCUAAGAAACUUUACCUUCUUCCUGAGUAACCUGAGAGAUGUUGGACUUCUAACCAAACUCUCCAGACUCCAGCUUUUACGAAGAAGCCUGUGGUGGCCACGCUGCUACCCGAGGACUCUAUGGAUUCCACCUUGUUGAAUCACAGUUCUGACUGGCUUCACCUCUGGGGCUUUACACAGCAUAGCCUGGCUGGGGUCCAGUGUAGAUUCUGAAGCAGAGCCCUGUGGGACCCACACUUUACAAAGGAUGACCUGUGCCAUCACUUGCAUGCCCCCGAGGGCUGACCAUCAUAUUUCCAGCAUGUAGAGAGUAGCCGCAGGGUGGGACGCCCACGUCAAUUCAUCUCAUUAGAUUCUUCCCUGAACACUAGAGUUCCCAGAACUCCCUAGAGUACAGAUGACUCCAAACACAUCGUCCCAAGAAAAACCCAUGUGUGGGAAUUACAUAGCCUUCACUUAAUAAAAUCUCACCUUUGCGUGCACGACU
rnacentral:lncRNA from 1 species